AUCAGCAUCCUCCAGUAAUUUGUCAACUGUCCAUAUGGGUGGACUAACAUGUAUAACUCAGCCGACGACAGAACUGGGGUCUGAGGAUACUGUUAUUGCACAAUUUUUGAGUAAUCCUGCCCAAGUUGGACCAAGCGAGUCUCCUGUCCUAUUUAGUGGAACAGUUGGUGCUGCAUCUACAUUUUCUCCAUUGGCAUCUAAUGACCUUCCUGAAAUAAGUGCUAUGGUGCCCCCUCCAUCAACAUCUGCUGAUCGUCUGGGACUUGUAUUAC